UCCCCCUGCAGUAAGGCAUCGACGCCACUUCCUCUUUUGUUCAACGCCGGAGCCGAACGAGCAGGAUCCUUGCGGUGUCUUCCAAACGAGCGCGCGUUUCGCGCUAGUGCCGGCCUUUCAAAGCUUCCGAGCCCGCCGGAGUUUAUGCUCGCGUGAAACAGCGCGAGUCUUUAAGGCGCUGCAAGGCUCGAUGAUGAAUGGACAGCUAAAUGCAACAUCCUCCCGUCACUGUGCUGGUGCUUCUGUAAAUCCUGCUUCUCCAGCACACACACUGGAACAAACACCUGCAGUGUCUGCGUGCUAUGUCCUGGCAGAAAUACUGGCCGGAAGAAGAAUUGCUUCGAAACGAGCAGAGUAACAAAGGGCCAGAGAAGCUCGUAGCCAGCUUUCGGGAAGGCCAGCUGCCCGGAAUACAAGCCGGAGCUCUCCCCACAUCCAGGGGAACGAGCGGCGUCUGUUUACCCAUUUGGGUCUUGACUGUAUUUGCUCCAAUUUUUGGGCUCUUUGAUCUAUGUAUACUUAUGUGAAAUACUAGUUCUAUCUGAUGCGUGUGUAAGGGACUAUGUAUCUGUAUGUGAAAUUAAUUAUACUGGAAUUUACCCAUU